AUGUUUAUUGUCUGGCGGCCUCGGGGUUUGUUUUUGAGCUGGGCGUUACUUUCCAUGGGACAAAUCCACGGGCAAGGAACGCCCCCUGAUUCUUAUUGGCUCCUUCUCCAUCCUUUUUUUCUCCAUCCUGAUGUUCACUAUUACGGUAUUGGUGACGGAUAUUGUUUUUCUCAGUACUGACGGCUAGUCCUGACAGCGAUGGCAGGUGCAAAGUCUUAGAAGAGUGUUGCAGUGGAAGAAUGUGAAAAGGUUGUUUACAACACUUGGUGAUGCUUGGUGAUGGAAAUCUGAGAACCUGCUCCAGUUUACAUGACAAUCAUAUACAGAUGCAACAAUCAGAGCCAACAGAAGUCCACUUUCCUGGAUGGAACUUCACAGAAAGAGAGCGAUGAAGGGGUCAGGAUGACAUUAUCAUCAAAACUGUGAACAUCAUCUCCACUCCUGGUAUCUACAAAAGGUGCAACACCGAUAGUAGUGCUUACAUUAUGUAGGCACUCCUAUGAAAAAAAAUACAUAAUGGCAGUAAAUGAAAUAGCCCUAUUUUUUUUAAAAGAUAUUUAGAAAAAUCAAAAUUGGUACCUUCAGUUAAAAUUGUUAAUAUGACAAACUUUGAUAUUUAUGUGAUUCUGGGUCCUGGACUUGUGCUUGGUUUGUGGUUUGGACUGGAGCCAGGAAUGAUGCUUGGGACAUGGAUUUACAUAUAUUCAAAUGCUCUACCAUCUGCUGUUUCUUUAUAAGGAUUUUCUUACAAUAACACUAUUGGUAAUGGCUAUUGGGUUAACAUUUCAGACCAUUUGUAAAUUGUGAAGCCUAGACAAACACACAAAAAGCAGUCAGCAAGACUAUUACUCCUUCAUAGCAGAAUGAUGAUGACAGUGAUAACAUAAACUUGUAGUUCAAUAAAUAGGAGUAAUGUAAUUGGUGCAUUUAAAAUGAGCUCAAUAUACAUUUUAAUGGGACACAAGAAAAAUGUGGGUGUGGUUGUAUGAAGGUUUGACUUGACUGCACUUGUAGUAGUAGUAGUAGUAGUAAUAAUAAUAAUAAUAAUAAUAAUAAUAAUAAUAAUAAUAAUAAUGACAUACCACCCUGCGUCAGUGAUAUUUCCAGGUGACACUGUAAAUGUGUAAUUGCCGAUGCAAAAUUGCUCGUUCUUGAACAAAAUGGGCAAAUGAGCGGUCUACUGAAUUAGGGGUUUCUCCCCUUGCAAGCACUGUUGCAUGCUGCUGCAGACAAAGAAGACAUCAAAAUUACUGUCUAUAAAUGUAAUAUACAUAUGGCAAAUGCCUACGGUCGACAACUUUUGAAAUUAAAGGAACUAAUUGUUUGUUUGUUCUUUUAGCGUUUCGUUUCGUAUAACCGCAAAGAGAUAUACUCGCAAUGUUUGUAAAGAAGUUUAUACAGCUGGUUUAUACAGCCCGACCCACUUCAGAAUAGUAAGGCGAAUGGGUGGGUCUAGUGUUAACCAGUCAGUCAGUGCACUACAGCUCAUUGUCAUCUGCGAUUGGUCGCGCCCCCUCCCAACUGCUUCACCUCGGUGCGAUGUGAUUGGAUGAAGUUUGUUACUGGGUGUUAUGAGGACACCGCCCUGACCCAGUGUUGUGUAGCUAUAUACAGCAUAAGUGCCGUCAAACGUCAGCGCUCAUUUGCAUAAUAUUGUUUUGGUCUUCUGUUUAGGCUUUGUGUGCCUAUUUUAACAUAGGCUAUUAACAGUAAAUAAACUGUGAGCUUAAAUACAGUUUAGACUAAUUUAGUCGUCUCGAUGCUGUGUUCAGUUUAUAGGCUAAUGAAGUGUAGUUGAUGCCUGUUCGUGUGUAUCGUCUGCUGCGUACCUGUUAUCCCCACCCGAGCUCUAUCUAGCGUCUCAGAACAUCCAGAAUAGCCUAUAUGUUGUCCGAAUGUUUAUUUUCUUUGUAGACCACUUUUACGUCCAUUUGUACCUUUGCAAUCUGCAAGACUGUAAGAUUGCAAAGAACAAUGUAUCAUUGCAGCACUUGUGAGAAUGGAAAAAGGUUAUCUUGAAUCUUAUUAUAUUGUAAUUAUUAUGUAUUUAUUUGUGAAAAUAUACAGUGAAAUUGUACAGAGUCUGUUUUUGAGGCAUGGCU